UACACACCUUAGAACCUUUGAAACCAAACCUUCUUCGGGUCCGCGAAUGCUUUCGGAGCGCCCGUUCUGUGUCUGCCAAUUUCACCUGGACGAUGUUGGUGAAUCCUCGCCACACUGCCCUCGAUGGUCCCAUUCAGAAGUGGAAACUGAGGCUGGAGAAAGUUAAGCCAGACAAAUGCAAGUCUUCCGAUCCUUGUGCAGGGCUCUUUGGAUCAAAGCACUGCGUUCCCGUGAGAAACUGACCAGAGCUUCCCAGGAUUCUCCUCCUUCCCCUUUAACCUCCAGCCCCCACCUGCCCCGCUGUCUCUUCCAGGGACUCACACCUGUGCACACCACAGGGGCUCAUACCUGUGCUCACAGUGUGUCCGGAAUUGGUGGGUCCUUGGUCUCACUGACUUCAAGAAUGAAACCACAGACCCUCGCGGUGAACGUUACAGCUCUUAAGGUGGCGUGUCUGGAGUUUGUUCUUUCUGAUGUUCGGAUGUGUUUAGAGUUUCUUCCUUCUGGUGGGUUCGUGGUCUUACUGGCUCAGGAGUGAAGCUACAGACCUUCACGGUGAGUGUUACAGCUCUUAAAGCAGCGCUACAGCUCUUAAAGCAGCGUCUGGAGUGGUUCGUUUCUCCCAGUGGGCUCAUGGUCUCAUUGGCUUCAUGAGUGAAGCUGCAGACUUUCGCGGUAAGUGUUACAGCUCAUAAAAGCAGUGUGGACCCAAAGAGCAAAACAACAAAGCUUCCACACUCUGGUAGAGGACCCGAGCAAAUUGCUACUGCUGGCUCAGGGCAGCCUGCUUUUAUUCUCUUAUCUGGCCCCACCCACAUCCUGCUGAUUGGUAGAGCCUAGUGGCCUGUUUUGACAGGGUGCUGAUUGGUGCGUUUACAAUCCCUGAGCUAGAUAUAAAGGUUCUCCACGUCCCCAUCAGAUUAGUUAGAUACACAGUAUUGACACAAAGGUUCUCCAAGGCCCCACCAGAGCAGCUAGAUACAGAGUGUCGAUUGGUGCAUUCACAAACCUUGAGCUAAACACAGGGUGCUGAUUGGUGUAUUUACAAUCCCUGAGCUAGGCAUAAAGGUUCUCCAAGGCCCCACCAGAGCAGCUAGAUACAGAGUGUGGAUUGGUGCACUCACAAACCUGGAGCUAAACACAGGGUGCUGAUUGGUGUAUUUACAAUCCCUGAGCUAGACAUAAAGGUUCUCCAAGGCCCCACCAGAGCAGCUAGAUACAGAGUGUGGAUUGGUGCACUCACAAACCUUGAGCUAAACACAGGGUGCUGAUUGGUGUAUUUACAAUCCCUGAGCUAGACAUAAAGGUCCUCCUAAGGCCCCACCAGACUCAGGAGCCCAGCUGGCUUCACCCAGUGAAUCCCACACCGGGGCUGCAGGUGGAGCUGCCUGCCAGUCCCGCGCCGUGCGCUCGCACUCCUCAGCCCUUGGGUGGUCGAUGGGACUGGGCGCCCUGGAGCAGGGGGUGGUGCUCGUCGGGGAGGCUCGGGCCGCACAGGAGCCCAUGGAGUGGGUGGGAGGCUCAGGCAUAGCGGGCUGCAGGUCCCGAGCCCUGCCCCGCGGGAAGGCAGCUAAGGCUCGCUGAGAAAUCGAGCGCAGCGCCGGUGGGCUGGCACUGCUGGGGGACCCAGUACACCCUCCGCAGCUGCUGGCCCGGGUGCUAAGUCUCUCAUUGCCCGGGGCCAGCAGGGCUGGCCGACUGCUCCGAGUGCAGGGCCCGCCAAGCCCACGCCCACCCAGAACUCCAGCUGGCCCGCAAGCGCUGCACGCAGCCCCGGUUCCUGCUCGCGCCUCUCCCUCCACACCUCCCUGCAAGCUGAGGGAGUGGGCUCCAGCCUUGGCCAGCCCAGAAAGGGGCUCCCCCAGUGCAGUGGUGGGCUGAAGGGCUCCUCAAGUGCCGCCAAAGUGGGAGCCCAGGCAGAGGAGGUGCCGAGAGCAAGCGAGGGCUCUGAGGACUGCCAGCACAAUGUCAUCUCUCAACAGCAGGGACUCAAACCUGUGCAGGCACACCGAGCUGGAGAGAGGACAUCUCCCAGAGGCGGCUGACCAAUGAGCCAGAGUUCUGCCUUGAGAUACAAUCAAUCCCCCAAUUCUGAAAUCCCUUCCUCACCUCCAGCCCCACCCAGGAAGACCAGAGCUCAUGAAAAAAACCGUGAGGAGGAGGCAUCUGUGCGGCUUUGGAGACCAGCCUCAGGCUACAGGUUACAAGAGGAAGCCAUGGUCUUCUGAAGAGCAAGUCCAGGGCAGUUGUGGUGGCUCACACCUAUAAUCCCAACAGUUUUGGAGGCCAAGGUGGGAGGAUCACUGGAGCCCAGGAGUUUGAGAACAGGACAAUAAAGUGAGACCCCAUCUCUACAAAAAUAAAAAAAAAUUAGCCAGGCGUGCUAGCAUGCGCCUGUGGUCCCAGCUAAAUGGAAGGCUGAGGCAGGAGGAUCACCUGAGCUCAGGAGAUCAAGGCUGCAGUGAGCCAUGUUUGUGCCACUGCACACCAGCCUAGGUGACACAGCAAGACACUGUCUCAAAAAAUAAAGAAAAUACAUGCAUAAAUAUAAAAAGGAGACCAGGUCCGCAGCUGGAGGGCUGGGUGGCAGUGGGAAAUGAAAAUCCAAGGAGCAAAACCAAAAAAGUGUGCAAAAGCCAGGCACAGCAGAGAGCAAGCCGUGGCCCCGGCGAUCGCUGAGAGGGCGGCGCUGCCCCGUCCGCCCCCAGACAUCAGCAUCCUCCCCUCCCAUAGGCCCUCAGACUCAGCAAGUUAAAAACUGAACCCGGGCUGGGCAUGGUGGCUCACACCUCUAAUCCUAGCACUUUGGGAGGCUGAGGCGGGCCAGAUCACAUGAGACCAGGAGUUCGAGACCAGCCUGGUCUAUAUCGUGAAACCCCGUCUUUACUAAAAAUACAAAAAUUACCAGGGUGUGGUGGCGCACAUCUGUAAUCCCAGCUACUCAGGAGGCUAAGGCACGAGAAUCGCUUGAACCCAGGAGGUGGAGUUUGCAGUGAGCCACUGUGCUCCAGCAUGGGUGACAGAGGGAGACUGUCUCAAAAAGGCAAAAACAAAAAAACCAAAACCGAACCCAAUCAGGCACUGUGACUCAUUCAUAUAAUCCCAACACUUUUGGAGGUUGAGGUGGGAGGAUCACUUGAGCCCAGGAGGUCGAGGCUGCAGUGCACUGUGAUCGUGCCACUGCACUCCAGACAAGAUGCUGUCUCAAAAAAAAUAAAUAAAAUAAAAUAAAUAAAAUAAAAUGUAUCAUGCACAUCCUCUGUGCUCUCAAAGAUCUUUUCGCCACCUUAUGACUACAUUCACCUCCCCUCGGCAUGACCACUUUUUUUUAUGGGUUUUUUUUUUUUUUUUUUUUUUUUUGGAGACAGUCUUGCUCUGCUGCCCAGGCUCAGCUCACUGCAACCUCCAUCUCCCGGGUUCAAGCGAUUCUCCUACCUUAGCUUCCGGAGUAAGUGGAGUGGGAUUACAGGCACCUGCCACAAUGCCUGGCUAAGUUUUUGUGUUUUUAGCAGAGAUGGGGUUUCCACCAUGUUGGCCAGGCUGGUCUCAAACUCCUGACCUCAAGUGAUCCCUCCAGCUCGGCCUCCCAAAUACUGGGAUUACAGGUGUGAGCCUCGGUGCCUGGCCACUUUUUUUUUUUUAAGAGAUAGGGUCUCACUCUGUUGUUUAGGCUGCAGUGGUGCAAUCAUGGCUCUCUGCAGCCUCAACUUCCUGGGCUCAGGUGAUCCUCCCACCUCAGCCUCCCAAGUAGCUGAGACUGCAGGUGUCUGCACCACCCUGCUCAGCUAAUUUUUUUUUUUUUUUUUUGGUAGAGAUGGGAUCUUGCUUUGUUGCCCAGGCUGGCCUUAAAUUCCUGGCCUCAGGCGAUCCUCCCACCUUGGCCUCUCAAAGUGCUGGGAUUACAGGCAUUAGCCACCGCGCCUGGCCUCAUGCUCACUUCCUAACACAUCUGCCAUGUUAACACAGUGCACGACAGAGUGCACACUCGGAGAACAGGAUAACUUCUCAUUCAUGUCUAUGUUCCCAGGCCUGACAGCCUCAUGCUCAUCACAGCUUUUUUUCUGAGAUGCAGUCUUGCUCUGUCACCCAGGCUGGAGUGCAAUGGCACGAUCUCAGCUCACUACAACUUCUGCCUCCCAGGUUCAAGCGAUUCUCCUGCCUCAGCCUCCCGAGUAGUUGGGAUUACAGGUGCCCGCCACCACGCCCAGCUAAUUUUUGUAUUUUUAGUAGAGAUGAGGGUAUCAUCAUGUUGGCCAGGCUGUUCUCAAACUGGUGACUUCAGGUGAUCUGCCCGCCUCGGCCUCCCAAAGUGCUGGGAUUACAGGUGUGAGCCACCAUGCCCAGCCAUACUAAUCACACCUUAGUAAGUAUUAGCUGGAUAUCUGAGUGGAUCAACGAACCAUGAGGUUCAGUCUCACAAGCCCCCAGAGAAAGGAGAGCUGCAGGCCACGCUGCCAUUUGGGAGGCGGCCCCUGCCGGCUCCUGCACUCGGCACUUAAGCUGGCAGCUCAGUGGGCAGAGGCUGCAGGUGAGGUCAGCUCCAACCGGGGCUUCCUUCACAUUUAACAUCUCAUUAAGUUCCUGGAGGCAUCUGGAGGGCAUUCAUUAAAGUUUCUCCAACCCUGAGCAACACAAGUGUUUACUGUGUGUUCUUAUUUAUUUUCUUUUUUUUUUUUUUUUUGAGACAGAGUCUCACUCUGUCGCCCACGCUGGAGUACAGUGGCACGGUCUUGGCUCACUGCAACCUCCACCUACUGGGUUCAAGCAAUUCUCUGCCUCAGCCUCCCAAGCAGCCGGGAUUACAGGCACCUGCCACCAUGCUUGGCUAAUUUUUUUUUGUAAUUUUAGUAGAGAUGGGGUUUCACCAUCUUGGCCAGGCUAGUCUCGAACUCCUGACCUCAUGAUCCACCUGCCUGGGCCUCCCAAAGUGCUGGGAUUACAGGCGUGAGCCACCGCACCAGGCCUAUCUGUCUUCAUUUAUUUUUAUACAACAAAACCAAGGCCGGGCACGGUGGCUCAUACCUGUAAUCCCAGCACUUUGGGAGGCCGAGGCGGGUGGAUCACUUGAGGUCAGGAGUUCGAGACCAGCCUGGCCAACAUGGUGAAACCCCAUCUCUACUAAAAAUAUGAAAAUUAGUUAGGCAUGGUGGCACACUUCUGUAAUUCCAGCUACUCAGGAGGCUGAAGCAGGAGAAUUGCUUGAACCCAGGAGGUGGAGGCUGCAGUGAGCCAAGAUCGCACCACUGCACUCCAGCAUGGGUGACAGAACGAGACUCUGUCUCAGAAAAAAAAAAAAAAAGUGAAGACAAAAACAAAGAGAACAUUGCAAAUAAAAA